rnacentral:rRNA from 1 species
UAGGGAAUCUUCCGCAAUGGGCGAAAGCCUGACGGAGCAACGCCGCGUGAGUGAAGAAGGAUUUCGGUUCGUAAAGCUCUGUUGUUAGGGAAGAAUGAUUGUGUAGUAACUAUACACAGUAGAGACGGUACCUAACCAGAAAGCCACGGCUAACUACGUGCCAGCAGCCGCGGUAAUACGUAGGUGGCAAGCGUUGUCCGGAAUUAUUGGGCGUAAAGCGCGCGCAGGUGGUUUAAUAAGUCUGAUGUGAAAGCCCACGGCUCAACCGUGGAGGGUCAUUGGAAACUGUUAAACUUGAGUGCAGGAGAGAAAAGUGGAAUUCCUAGUGUAGCGGUGAAAUGCGUAGAGAUUAGGAGGAACACCAGUGGCGAAGGCGGCUUUUUGGCCUGUAACUGACACUGAGGCGCGAAAGCGUGGGGAGCAAACAGGAUUAGAUACCCUGGUAGUCCACGCCGUAAACGAUGAGUGCUAAGUGUUGGUCUCAUAAGAGAUCAGUGCUGCAGCUAACGCAUUAAGCACUCCGCCUGGGGGGUACGACCGCAAGGUUG